UACGUAGGGUGCAAGCGUUGUUCGGAAUUACUGGGCGUAAAGGGAGUGUAGGCGGGAUCAUAAGUUAGAAGUUUAAUCCAUCGGCUCAACCGGUGGUCGGCUUUUUAAUACUGUGGUUCUUGAGUAUGGGAGAGGGUGAUGGAAUUCCAGGUGUAGCGGUGGAAUGCGUAGAUAUCUGGAAGAACACCAGUAGCGAAGGCGGUCGCCUGGCCCAAUACUGACGCUGAGGCUCGAAAGCUAGGGGAGCAAACAGG
rnacentral:rRNA from 1 species